CAGCAAGCAAGACGAAGAGCGAAGAUUUGAAUUGGAAAUCGAACUAUUUCAUUGCAAAGAAAACCAUCGACGUCCAUAAAGAUUCAGAAAUUGGAGACAGUGGAGGAACUACUCGACCUUGACGAGUUGAUAAAAACUUAACCAAGCAAGAAAGAUUUGCUGACAGCCAGGCUCUCAAAGAUUGGUGGAUAUGACUUAAAGAGCUGUUUAAGCACCAUCAUGGACAGGCUCAUGACAAAUGAAUUAAUGUCCAAUCUGAAC